AUCGCUUCUCGGCCUUUUGGCUAAGAUCAAGUGUAAAGUAAUGCUUGCUGCCAGAAAUGACUUUUUAAAAAUUAAUUUUAUUGGUACAUUCUAGGUAUAUAAUAUGACAUUCAGCAUGGGAAAAUUGUACCUUUACAUAAUAUAUCUUGGUUCUUAUUUUUUCCCCAU
ensembl:snRNA U2 U2 spliceosomal RNA